rnacentral:rRNA from 1 species
AACGAACGCUGGCGGCGCGCUUAAGCAUGCAAGUCGAACGGCAAGAGGUAGCAAUACCUCCUAGAGUGGCGGACUGGUGAGUAACACGUGGGUGACAUACCCUUCAGAUGGGGAUAGCUAUUAGAAAUAGUAGAUAAUACCGAAUACGAGCACAGGGGUUAGAGAUCUGUGAGGAAAGGAGCUAAGGCUCCGCUGAAGGAAUGGCCUGCGGCCCAUUAGCUAGUUGGUGAGGUAAGAGCCCACCAAGGCGAUGAUGGGUAUCCGGCCUUAGAGGGUGAACGGACACAUUGGGACUGAGAUACGGCCCAGACUCCUACGGGAGGCAGCAGCUAAGAAUAUUCCGCAAUGGACGAAAGUCUGACGGAGCGACGCCGCGUUGGAUGAAGAAGGCCGGAAGGUUGUAAAAUCCUUUUGAAACUGAAGAAUAAGCGUUGUAGGGAAUGACAGCGUGGUGACAGUAGGUUUUGAAUAAGCAACGGCUAAUUACGUGCCAGCCGCUGC